rnacentral:rRNA from 1 species
CGUAGGGGAUGCCGCGUACGGGUUAGUUUCCGGAAUUUUUGUUAUACGACGGAGUCAAUUCUGCUCCUGAGCGGGCGAUAAUUACUUGUUACGCGUUUUGCGACGUAUCAAGUUGCCGUAGAAGGUGCUAGACCUGUACACUCCGGUAUAUAUAAUUUUUCCAACGAAGCUUUCCCUAGAGUAGGGUUGAUCAGUACCUCAACCUGAAGAGGUGGUAAAUUCCAUCUAAAGCUAAAUAUAUCCUAAAUCUCGAUAGUAAACAAGUAGUGUGAACGAAAGUUGAAAAGAACUCUGAAGAGAGAGUUAAACUUAGACCGUGAAACCGUUAAGAGUAUAAAAAGCGGAAAGAC